rnacentral:rRNA from 1 species
AGGAUAAACGCUGGCGGCGUGCCUAACACAUGCAAGCCGAACGUCCUACGCAAGUAGGGAGUGGCGGACGGGUGAGUAACACGUGGGCAAUCUACCUUUCGGUGAGGAAUACCGGCGAGAAAUCGCCGACAAUACCACAUACGCUUCGCAAGAAGCAAAGUCGCAAGACGCCGGAGGAGGAGCCUGCGCCCGAUUAGCUGGUUGGUGAGGUAAAAGCUCACCAAGGCGUCGAUCGGUAGCUGGUCUGAGAGGAUGAUCAGCCACGCUGGGAUUGAGAACGGCCCAGACUCCUACGGGGGGCAGCAGUGAGGAAUUUUCGUCAAUGGGGGAAACCCUGAACGAGCAACGCCGCGUGCAGGAUGACGCUUCUCGGAGUGUAAACUGCUUUUCUCGGGGAAGAGGAACGGACGGUACCCGAGGAAUCGAGCCCGGCUAACUCGUGCCAGCAGCCGC